GGGUCACCUGAUCGCUCCCCGCAGGAUACAAUAUGGCGCCGCCCAUGUAGCUGCUCCUGGAAGGCGUGGAGGGAAGGCUGAGCUUGCUGCGCUUUCUGGCUGUGACACAAGAUGUUCUGAUGAAGGCUAAGUUCACUCUACUGGCUUGGUUUAUGAGACGCUGCAUCCUGCAGCCGGGCAGAACUGUAACAAAUCAGCUGGCUGGAAGGGGCCGGAGAUUCCCGCCACCCGAAGAUCUGCCAGCCAGGAAGCUCUGUCCUUCCAAGGACAUGGAGGGGGAAUGCCCGCAGGAAGCCAAUGGCUCCCAUCCAGAGCAGCGUGAGGAGCGGCCGCCUACAUCUGAUCUAGCGGUGGAUGCUGGGAGCUGCGCUGACCCCGUGAAAACUGGGGAGACCGUGAUCACGGAGGGGAAAGCGAAGAUCAUCUUCCCCAGUGCCAACGAAGUGUUCUACAACCCCGUGCAAGAGUUUAACCGAGACCUGACGUGCGCCGUGAUCACGGAAUUCAUUCGCCUUCAGCUUUCGGCCAAGGGGAUUCAGAUUGCCGUCCCAGGAGAGGAGAAGGUCGAGAAAGUGGUUGUGGAUCUUUCCGAAGGGGAGGAGGCUGGGCCGGAACCAGCGCCCGACGGGGAGGGGGCAGCGCAGACGGCGGCAGUGGGAGACGUGUGCAAGGAAGGAGUGCGGAUCUUGGAGGCUUUGGCCGCCUCGGGGCUCCGCUCCAUCCGCUUUGCCAAGGAGGUGCCUGGCCUCCAGGCCGUGGUGGCCAACGAUUUCUCCUCCAAAGCCGUCGAGCUCAUGGCGAGGAACGUCCAGUUCAAUGGAGUCGGGCACCUGGUGACGUCGAGCUUGGCCGAUGCCAGGAUGCUGAUGUAUCAGCAGAAGGCGGAGAAGCAUCCGUUCGACAUCAUCGACCUGGACCCGUACGGCAGCCCUGCCACCUUCCUGGACGCCGCCGUGCAGGCAGUGAGUGAAGGAGGCCUGCUGUGCGUGACCUGCACCGACAUGGCGGUGAUGGCCGGGAACAGCGGGGAGACGUGUUACAGCAAGUACGGAGCCAUGUCCAUCAAGGGCAAGUUCUGCCACGAGAUGGCCCUGCGGAUCAUCUUGCACAGCCUGGACCUGCGGGCGAACUGCUACCAGCGCUACAUCGUGCCGCUCCUGUCGGUCAGCGCCGACUUCUACAUCCGGGUCUUCGUGCGGGUCUUCACCGGCCAGGCCACAGUGAAAGCCUCUGCCAGCAAACAGGCCCUGGUGUAUAACUGUGUGGGCUGCGGGACGCACCACUUCCAGAGACUCGGCAAGAUGACCAGCCACGGGAGCAAUUUUAAAUACUCGGCUGCCUCAGGCCCCCCAGUGGGCCCCUCCUGUGAGCACUGCCACCAGCGGCACCAGCUGGGUGGCCCCAUGUGGGCGGAGCCCCUCCACGACCCAGCCUUUGUCCAGAGGGUCCUGUCGGCCUUGGGGAGCAACCCGGGCCGGUUCGGGACACAGGAUCGGAUCCAGGGGGUGCUCAGCAUGGUGACCGAGGAGCUGAGCGACGUCCCGCUGUACUACACCCUCGACUGCCUGAGCAGCACCAUCCACUGCAACACGCCCUCCCUGCUGCAGUUCAGAUCCGCCCUCCUCCACGCCGGCUACCGCGUGUCGCUCUCCCACGCCUGCAAGAACGCCAUCAAGACGGAUGCGCCGCCCUCCAUCCUCUGGGACAUCAUGAGAUGCUGGGAGAGACUCCAUCCCGUGAAGAGAGAGCGACUCUCCGACACCAGCCCAGCCUUCCACAUCCUCUCCGUGGAGCCCACGCUGCAGGCCUCCUUCACCAUCCGCGAGGACGCCAACCCCAAAUCCAGGAAGCAGGGGCUGAAGCGAUUCCAGGAGAAUCCCGAAGCGUACUGGGGCCCCAAGGCCAAGGCUAAGGCAGGGAAGGCACAAGCUGUGACAGCUGCAGGGACGCCUGGUGGGGAGGAGUGAACGCCAGGGGCUGCUGUUCUACCUUGAAUCCAACUCCAGGCCAGGACGACUCUGGAUCUGGAUCAGAGCAAGGUGCCACCCCUGUGCGGCUACUACCCAGCCAGGCUGGUAGCCCUCUCCUGCUUCCAUUGGGUCUCUUUAAAGCCUCCAGCCCCUCUGGCUACGUGAAGGCUCCUCAGGGCCUGUUGUUAUACAGCUGCCGUGCUCCACCCCAGAGGCAGCUGCUGUCCCUCCUGCCUGUAGCUGAGCAAACUCCACUGCUGGGGCUGAAGCUGAAGCUAACCCUGGGGGUGAAAAGCUGCUGGGCUGAGCUCAGCAGCCGUCCUCACCCAGCCCCCUCCUGCCUUUCCAGGGGGGGCAUUUCCACCUCCCUGCAGGACAAGAGGAAGCUGCAUCAGAACAAGCGGAAGGAGCGAUUGGAGGACAGGAGCCACUUGAAAAACAUCCCCUGCAAGAGGCUCAAGGAGGGGAGCGGCGCGGGGGCUG